UUUAAGUGCAACCAUAAGUUUCCAUGCCCAACGUUAACCGUCCGUGUUAUUUGAAAAAUAUUUAUAAUUAGUAUUUUUAUUGGUAUGAGAUGAUAAAACAUGAAUAGUACUUUAUAUGUGACUCAAAAAAAUUUCAAAUAAGACGGACGGUCAAAGUUGUGCACGGAAAAUCAUGGCUGCACAUAGA
rfam:Oryza meridionalis cultivar OR44 (W2112) chromosome 10, whole genome shotgun sequence.